rnacentral:lncRNA from 1 species
CUAUUUUUUGUUCUACUAUUUCAUCUCCCUAUGUCUGUGUUUGAUGAGGUGUUAUAUAUAAAACAGUGGCUUAGAUUUCAUGAUCCAAAAUCACACAGCAUGGAUUCAAGCUCUAAUGUUCCCAUUUAUUAAACUUACUUUAAGUAAAAUAAAUUUGAAAACAUAUUUUCCACUAAAAAAAAAUGAUAGAAAAUAUUUUUAUCCUAAGAGUUGUGAAAAGUAGACGAAUAUGAUUUGGCAUACAAUAAGUGCUCAGUGUUAUCAGUUAUUAGUGUUUCAUUAUCUCAUGCUUUUAUCACACAGAGAUAUUGACUUUGUUAACUUAAGUAUUUAAUGUGUGGCUCUUUCAGCACACAAAUUCCUUUAAGCACUGUAUUGGUUUUCUAUUGCUGCUGUAGCUCAUUACUGAAAAUUUCUUAGCUUAAAGCAACUUAACUUCUUUAUUUGUUAAAUGAUAUAAAUUAUCAUUAAGUUAAUAGAAUGGUUUUGGAAGUUAGAAGUUCAAAGUGGCUCUGACCACACAGUGUUGUCAAGGUUGCAUUCCUUCUGGGAGCUGGAGGGAAGAAUCUGCCUUUUCCAGAUUCUAGACUGUGAUUAGCUCACGGUGACUUACUCUUUUUUUUCAGAGCCAACAGAAUAAUAUUUUCAAAUUUCUCUUUCUGACUCUGACUUCUUUCUUCCCUUUAGAAGGAUCUUUGUGAUUACAUUUGGAUCAACUAUAUAAUCCAAGAUAAUCCCAUUUCAAAAUCCUCAAUUUAAUCAUACCUGAAAUGUCCUUUUUACUUUGUAAAAUAUUCCAGGUUUCAAGGAUUAGGAAGAGACAUCUUUGGGGGCCACUAUUCUUUCUAGCACAUGCAGGAUCUAUGGGUUUUGUUUUAUUUUUUGCUUCUACAGUGUUUAGUGUAUAUCUUCUGCUUCUGAGCGGUACAAUAAAUGUCUGUUGAGCAAAUGAAUCAAUAAUGGAAGAAAGAACAGUGCUAAUGGAAAAUCUUAGACAUACCUGGGUUUCCUACUCUACUGCCAUUACUAGUUAAUUAUUCAAACCAGAACUUCCUGUUCUUCACUAGAGUAGCAACUGACUCAUGGAAGAUCUAUCUUUUUCUGUUUAUUAGAAAAAAUAAACCUAAUUAUUAUAAACCAGCUUGGGACACAGCUCCAACAAGAGCUGUGCUCUCAGGACAAACUUUCAUCAUCUCGCUAAUUUGACUCUUAUCCAUAAAUGUGCUGUGGUUACAGUGCCAAGAAUGUUUUAGAUCAGUGACAUGUGUAACAUAUGUUUCUUUGAGGUGCAUGCUGAAGGCUUCAUCAUGAAUUGCAGUACUGCUUAGAACAUUCUAAAUUGCAAUUUUACCUCGAGCACCAUUUUUCACUUUGCAGAAUGUCAAAAGUUUUUCUCUAUCGACUAAAGAAAGGCACUUAUCCCUAAAUUCAUGAAGGUUUAAUAGAAUAUGUUUGAUAAACUUAUCAGCCUAGAUGCCAGUUAUUUAUAUAGAUUGUACUGCUCAUUUUAUAUCAAAAUCCUCCUUUAUGCUACAGUGAAAGAGUUUUCAUCUGAAUGUUUUUAUUUGCAGACCGCUCAGAGCUGUUAUUCAAUAUCCAGUUUCUAAGGUUUCACAAAACUCAGUGGAAUUUUUGCUCAUCCAAUUUAAACUUUAAUCAUGGCAAAACAGUACAUAGAUAAUGAUUUAUUGCUGCAAAAAUAGAACAAUGAAAUGACAUGAAAUGUUCAUAUCUUGAUUGAAAUAUGAACAUUUACAAGGGUGUUAUAUUUAAUUCACGUCAUGUCAGCAACACCAACAGAGUUUUCAGUGCUCUGUUUCUCUAUUUAUUUGCAUUAUGCCUCUCAAACUGAAAGCUGUUGUCUCAAUUAGUUGACUGCUGCAGGCAGAAAACUCUGUUUUCCUUUAUAGACAAAUUUCAUAUUAAAAAAUGUUAGAAUCAUCUAUAUUUAUUUGUUAAAAGAACCCUCCCUAUAUCAAGAUAUCAACUUUAAUAUUCUCUAAGAGGGCUGAAUUAAAUAAGAAUUAUCCUCAGUGGAAGUUUUACCAAAUUCAAACCUGUUUAUAGGGUGCUUUAUUUGAAAUGUAGACAUUUUGGAAAACAUCAAAUUUAUAAUUACACACAAAAAUUCUGAUAGAUAUAAUCAUCCCAAUAGAUUUUGUUGUUUCUUUAGUUAAUGCCUACUGAGAAGAGUAAUAGAAGUGCCAAGAAUAUUUUUAAGCAGACCUGGGACUAAUUCUCACUUAAAUUCCAAAAACAAAAAGGAAAAAACAAAGUUUAUUAGAGAAUUGUGGAAAGUACCCCAAGGUGAGAUAUUCUGGGGACUGAUACUAAUACAGGAUAGGAAAAAACAAACUGAAAAUCUAAAAAAUAUGUGUAUAUAUUUUAUUCAGUCCGGAAGGAAUUUAAUGGAAUAACCAAAUAUCACCGCUUUCUCCUCAAGGACUCAGUUUAUACCUGUUACCUUAUGUAAUUAUUAAUAGGCCCUCCUGACACUCAAACAUUUCCCUGAUAGUGUGAGAAAUUAUAUGAUCACAUAAAACUUAAAGGCCUAAUACUUUGGAUCCCAAAAGGCCUUUCACUGUUGAGAAGAAAAUGGUCCCUAAACGAAGAUUGUUAGAAUUUGAGCAACUUUUGCUAUUCUAUUAGAAAAAAAGAGUCAUGAAGAUUGAAGACCAAUCUUUGAGAACUGAUCUAUUUGAUGUAUAUAUUGCUUGGUCUAGUCUGUGACAGUUUCAUUAAAUUGGUGUAAUUUUCUUUGGCAGAAAAGUGAUUGUAUCUAAUUUCAGAGCCAAAUCUCUUGAGAUCUCUAAGCUAACAAUUGCAAUAUGAGAAGCUUAUCAACUAUUUAAAUUUUAUGUUAAGGAUUUGUUGCACUUAAUGGAUUUUUUUUUUUAAGAUUUCAAAAUUCUAGAGAGUGAAAUAGGAAACAAUUCCUUAUACAUUACUAUUCUGAGGAAACAUUACAAACUCCAACAUUAAAAUGGUGAUAUACCUAUAUUUGCUCACCAUUAGCGUUUCUGGCUUUAUAUGCUUAUUAUCACUUAGUAAUGUGUAGAAUUUUUUAAAUGAAAUGACCUAGCUGAAUUAAUAUUAAUGAUAAUCAAAUUAAAACACAAAAAUCCACUGGUUUUGUUUGUAUCUCUAUUAUGUUUUAAUAGUGCAGUGGACUCUUAAGAAAAUAGUGGUAUAAGACAUGGUUUUUGCCCCUACAGAAAUCAUUUUGGCAUAAAAAACAACAGUUACCAUCAUCAUAAUUAAUUAUAGUACUUAUUAGAGUCUUGAUAGGGAACAGAAAUGGUGCUCAAAUUGGGUAUUAUGAGGAGAGUGUAAUAAAGAAGAUCUUUUCAAAAGUCAUAGAGGAAAGUGCAGUCAGAUGUAAAGAAACCAUAAAGGAUAAUGCAACAUUUGGAGGCUUGUAACAGAAGGGCUAUUAUGACCCAUAAACCAUCAAGAGAGGGAGCCCAGGGAAUAAUCAAUCUUAACUUUUCCUUCUUUUCCCAGUUUACUUCUGGUGCUCCCUAUUUGCCAAAGUCACCAGAGUGUGAGAAGUCAAGGGAGAUCCUUGAUGUAGUCCCUAUGGACUUGAGCCUCCCAGGGCAGGGAGCAGGGUAGAAAAGGAGGCAAAACAGCUCUCUAGUAGAAACUAUAGAACAUCCAGCAAAACCACCAUCAUCCUCAUCAGGACUAACUUCUUUGAACACUUACCAGCUAUAGCCCAAGUAGCUUAAUCUGUACAACAAUGACAGAAGGGUAAAGUUUAUGACCUCAUGGAGGUGAGGCUAGGCUUUGAAAAUGACCUGAUAUAAAUAGCACGUGGAUACAAAGGGUAUUAAGCAUGGCCUGCAGGCCAUAUUUUGAUUUUCAGCAAAACUUGGAGUGUGUAUGUGUGUGUGUAUAUGCCCUGUAGCUGGUAGAGAGGGGUUAGCUAAAACUAAGGCAAGCAUUUAGGCAGGGUUUCAUAUUGUUACAGAGUACUGAUAAAGCUCUUAAUUUUUAGUGUCAUGCAUACACAGACAGCUUUAGAUAGGUUGGCUCAAAUUUAAAUCUACAUUCAGGGUUAGCGGUAACUACAAAGGGACUAGAAAACUUUGGAUUCAUGUGGUUUAUCCACAGGCUCUUAGACAUCACUCUCUAUUCCUUGAGACCAAAUUGUUUCUGGAUUUUUAUUUGCAUAAACUCUGACCAGAGGUCUUCUAUGACUCAACUUGUGGGUUCACCCAUAGAAAGUGGUGGGUUCACCCAUAGAAAGUGGUGGGUUAUAAAUAAAUACUAGUAAACUGUAUAUGAAAAUCAUAAGCCAUUUUUAUGACUUGAAGUAGAGAAAUGACUUAAAGAAAUUACUACAAACUAAUAAAGCAGCAUUCAUGUUCUGGGUCUGGCGUACCUUAUAUUAAGAGCUAGAAUUGCUUAAAAAUGGAGAAGAAACUGGAUGGUUUUGAGAAGAGUGCGUCAAUCUAAUGGUCAGGAUGGAAAUAGUAUAGGAGUAAAAACAAAAUAAAUCAGUCUGAUUGAAUUGGAGGGAGAUACUCAAAGGAAGAUGUUGAGAUCUAAUCUGUCUUAGAGGACAGAUUAGAAAUACCUAAGAGGAAAAUGAGAUCUUAAAGUUCAGGCUAAACUGAUAAACACUGGCAUGUAACUACUCUUUAAAAGGCCGUUAAAAUAAAGAAGGAUUUUAAAUGCAAUUGAGAAAUAGUGACUAAUGCCCAAAGAAAUUUAACAGGGAAUAACAAAAUAUUCCAGAGAAGAUGGAAAUGACUCCCACAAAGAGAAUCAGUAUUCUGGAAACUAUUGAGAGAUAUCUUUGAAAAUCAGGGUUAGAAGAUCCAUAAUUAGAAAAACUACCCAUUAAAGAUUAUUAAAAACAUACCUAGAGCUUCAAAAUUCUAGACAAGAGUUUCCUCUGUGGCUCAGCAGGUUACAGCUCAGUGUUCCCAUGAGCUGUGGUGUAGGUCACAGAUGUGGCUUGGAUUCUGUGUUGCUGUGGCUGUGGUGUAGGCUGGCAGCUG